UCCCUGGUGGCUCAGACGGUAAAGCAUCUGUCUACAAUGCAGGAGACUUGGGUUCGAUCCCUGGGUCGGGAA
rnacentral:tRNA from 1 species